GUCGUAUUCAGCACCUUGGUUGCCGUCUCCGGCUCCUUUGUUUUUGGUUCUGCGGUGGGAUUUUCUUCACCCGCUCAGAAUGGGAUAAUAAAGGAUCUUGGCCCCUCUGUGGCAGAGUACUCUGUAUUUGGUUCAAUAUGGACAAUUGGAGCGAUGAUAGGUGCUGUAAUGAGUGGGAAACUAGCUGAUCUUUUCGCCCGUAGAGGUGCAAUGGGCUUCUCUGAGUUGUUUUGUCUUUUGGGAUGGCUUGCAAUUAUUUUUGGCAAGGAUGCUUUGUGGCUUGACAUUGGGAGGUUU
rnacentral:misc_RNA from 1 species